AAAUGGCUGAUCUCACCAAAAAAUGAGGAAGGGAUACCUAGCGAAGACAUGAAUGCACACCAGGGCAUAUCAUUAAAAGAGCACUGAUAAAGCUCUGUCUGAUUGGCCUUAGAGCCCUUAGCAGAGUGCAAGAACGUCUAAUGAUGUACUUGUGCUGUACUACUGGCUGGAGCUGUUCCCUGGCAUACCCAAAUACGAGACCCAGG